AAGGAAUAUUGGGCAAUGGGCGCAAGCCUGACCCAGCCAUGCCGCGUGCAGGAUGACUGCCCUAUGGGUUGUAAACUGCUUUUAUACGGGAAAAAACCCUCGAACGUGUUCGGGGCUGAUGGUACCGUAAGAAUAAGGAUCGGCUAACUCCGUGCCAGCAGCCGCGGUAAUACGGAGGAUCCAAGCGUUAUCCGGAUUUAUUGGGUUUAAAGGGUGCGUAGGCGGAAUGGUAAGUCAGCGGUGAAAUCUCCCAGCUUAACUGGGAAACUGCCGUUGAUACUGCCAAUCUUGAGUACGGUUGAAGUGGGCGGAAUGUAGCAUGUAGCGGUGAAAUGCUUAGAUAUGCUACAGAACACCGAUUGCGAAGGCAGCUCACUAAGCCGCAACUGACGCUGAGGCACGAAAGCGUGGGGAGCAAAC
rnacentral:rRNA from 1 species